rnacentral:lncRNA from 1 species
CGGUGAUUAAGAUGGGGGAGCACAUCGAGAAUCCCCCUGUGCCCACUCGGGCACAGACACUGGAGCUGAACUUGGGUCUCACACAAGUGGUAGAUGCUCUGCAAUAGCGAUUAGCAAUUCUGUUUGAUUUAGGAAGUGCUAAUCAAUAACAAACUCAACUUGGGGACCUGCACUGGCUUCCUCAUUCUGCAUCUGGCACCCAGGACUGACACACCCCAGCUGGCAGGAAGAUCUGGACAACAAAAGCAAUAAAAUAAAACAUGAAAUGGACAACAUUGAAGAUCAUUAUCAAAAAGUAAAGGAAAAACUAUAUAGAAUAGAAGAAAAUAUUUGGAAGUUAUAUAUCCAAUAAUAAUUUAAUAUUCUAAAAUUUGUAAGGAACCCUCCACAAUUCAACAACAAAGAGGUAACCCAAUUUUUAAAAGGGAAAGAAACUAAAACACUUCUCCAAAGAAGAUAUACGAG